GUGUUUACUUCGGCAGCACAUAUACUAAACUUAGAAUGAUACCAAGAAGAUUAGUAUGGGACCUGUGCAAGGAUCCCAUGCAAAUUCACAAAGCAUUUCAUAUUAAA
ensembl:snRNA U6 U6 spliceosomal RNA